GUUUAAAUAGUUUAAUUAAAACAUUGAUCUUGUAAAUCAAAAAUAAGUAAUAACUUUUUAAACU
rnacentral:tRNA from 1 species